rfam:Triticum aestivum genome assembly, contig: Triticum_aestivum_CS42_TGACv1_scaffold_132002_2BL
CAUAUACUCCCUCCGUUCCAAAAUUUUUGUCUUAUAUUUGUCCAAAUACGGAUGUAUCAAGUCAUGUUUUAGUAUUAGAUACAUUCGUAUCUAGACAAAUCUAAGACAAAAUUUUUGAGGAGGAAGGAGUACAAG